UGUAAAUAUAACUAUUUUUGAAUUUCUCCCAAAAUUGAUCUCAUAGGCCCAACUAGACUCUCAAUAAUCGAGUCCAGCCCGAUUCUCCAUAGGGCAUCAAGGACUACCCCAGUAGGCCUAUUUUUCACUACACCAAACCCAAUUGUAUCAACCAUUUAGCAUUUCCAGUGACUAACUAACAAUUAUACUUCUAACAAAAGAAAAAUUACAUGUGUUCGUUUAGCUUUGUAGUUUGCACUUCAAAUUCAUACAAGGUCACUUAAAAAUGACAUGAAGGAAUGAGCUAUUACAUCUGAAUCUUCUAAUUAAACAAUUGAAACACCCCAAUGAAGAAUGUACUAUGCUAUCGGACCUAUGAAUUGAAAUACUUGGUCUAGUUACGAACUCAAUUGUUUUCUCCUACUUUUCACAACUUCUCAGCCAAAUCUCCUCUUCUUAACUAAAUUACAUGACAAAUAGUAAGUAAACCAGAUUUUUUUUAAACAAAAAAAAAACCAUCUUCUAACAUGAUAAAUAUAGUAAACUUAACUUACAACUCAAUUUAUGUUUUCAUCACGGCAAACAAAUAGGACAUACUAUAAUGAAUAUUAACCAAUUGACACCAAGGAAACAACAAAGCAUGAACACAUCUAUAAAAUUUUCAAUCAAACAAAACAGAGUUUAUAUCAUUUGAUCAAGGUGAUACCUGGAUACAACAAGUAAACAGAAUAAGAAAAUAGAUCUCUGAAGUUGGAAAUGAAACAACAGAAUAUAGCAGAAGCAGCAGCAGUAACAGCAAGAAAACAGCUUCAAAUCCACUCCAAAAUCCAACGAGAACUCAAGAACUACUGAAACAGUGCAAUGGAAUUCAAAGUGGCUUUUCAACUCUUUUUUUUUUUUGGGUUUUUUCUAAGUCUAAAUUCAAUUUUCAGAUUGUUUUUCUGUGGAGAAUCAGUGAAUGUGUAGGUGAGGAUGAAUUAAUGUCUGUGUAGUGAAAGGACAAGAGGUCUUAUAUACAGGGGCGGACCCACGUGGGGUCAAGAGGGUUCAUAUGAACCCGCUUCGUCGAAAAAAUAACAGGGCGUAUAUAUGUAUAUUUUACCUUUCUUCAAGAAAAUGAAGCUAUAUAUCGUUUGUUGACCCCGCUUAGCACAAAGGCAUUGUCCAGCCCAUUUGCAAAGUGGGUUCAAGUUUUCUGGGAUGUCUAGAGUUCUAACCCAGUCAGCUACACAUGUUGUUUUCCCCCUAGAUACAGCACUUUUCCCCCAUCAUUUUAAUAAUUUAUUUUGUUGACGCUUUUGUAUAUUUGUUUUUUAUAUUUUGAACCCACUCGGUAAAAAUUCUGGGUCCGCCACUGCUUAUAUAUAUUGUGCAAAAUCUGUCAUGUGCACAAAAUAAGGGAAUAAUUUUCAGAAAGCCACCCCUGAAUUUCAGGAAAAAAAGCAUCUUUUAAAACUUAAUUGGACAGUUGUUGGACAGCUGUCCAUUCAGUUAUCCCUCCAUAUUUUUAGCCCAUUAACUUCUGUAUUUUACCCUUUUUAACUCCAAAUCUGAUCUAAAUUCUCUUGUUUUUUUGCAUUAUAGUCCCUUUUAGAAAUUUCUUGACCAAACACCUAAGAUUCCCUGGUUUUCCAAAUUCCUUUGACCCCUUCAACUCUUAUUAAUGACAAAUGAGCCAUCAUACAGAUCAGCCCCAAUAAACAAAUGAGCAAAAUGAAUCUAAUUAACUUGAUAAUUAAGACUAAUUAACAUGCAAUUGAACUACUAGUAAUGUAAUUAAUUAAUUAAGCUAGACAUGCAGAAGAAAGUCCUAGUAAUCAACAAAUUACUAUCACUUUAAACAGCAGUUUAGCAAAUUUAAUUAAGGGUAAUUAAAGUUAAACUAACACUGGAUUCUAUAUUAAACACUGAUCAAAUCAUAAUUAACAAAUGACCUCAAUUAAACAAAUUGAUUAAGCACAUUCUGGACAUGGAAGAAAGAAAGAAAAAAAAAAGGAGAAAAGAGAUACCUAUCGAGCACCUAAUGUAGGAAAACAAAGAUGGCCGACUUGAAUGGACUACUGCGUUCUUCGAGAUGAGCCGAAACUGGUGUUAAUCGAAUGUUCUUGUUGAGAACAAACGAUUAACACAAAUUUCGGGUCGAAUCGAUCUUGGAAAUCUUGAAAGAAUGAAACAGGAAAUUAGGGUUUCUGGCUAUUUUUAGAUCUGAAAUUUGACGAGUUUGGUGGGGAUUUUGGGGAAACUAAUGGUAGGUUAGUGAUUAGGGUAGGCUAAGGAUUGUGUGGUACAAAUUUGGGUGGGAUUAGAGGCGGGCCGCCGCCGUAAUGCAAUUUCCGGCGGCGGCUUUAAAGGGGAGUGAGAGAUAAGAGAUGGGGGAGAGGGGGAAUGGGG
rnacentral:lncRNA from 1 species